rnacentral:rRNA from 1 species
UAAUACGUAGGGUGCAAGCGUUGUCCGGAUUUAUUGGGCGUAAAGAGCUCGUAGGCGGCUCAGCAAGUCGGUCGUGAAAACCCGGGGCUCAACCCCGGGAGGCCGGUCGAUACUGCUGUGGCUAGGGUCCGGUAGAGGAGAGUGGAAUUCCCGGUGUAGCGGUGGAAUGCGCAGAUAUCGGGAGGAACACCAGUAGCGAAG